UACAGAGCCUGUUUAGCAGAUAAGUGAAUAAUAAAAAUGGAACAGAGAACAGACGUGACACGGAGGUAACGACGUAUGUGUAUGUGGCGUGACAGUCUCUUAUUUUCAAAAAUCGGAAUCUAUAUCAAAUAUUACACGAAAAAUUGUAAAAGAUAUUGGGGAUGAAGUGUAUUUGGAUUGCUCAACUAUAAAUAACCUAGAAGUCAAUGUUGUAUGGGUUAAGGUUGCAAAAGAUCAAAUUGAUGCAUCUAUUGUACUUUCGUCUAAAAGUACACUUAUUGUCGAUGAUCCAAGAGUGACAUUGAUAUCAGAAUUGAAGCAAGAUAGCAAUCGAUACAUUAUACAUAUUCAUAAUAUUCAGGAAAGUGAUACUAGUAUCUAUCGCUGUGAUGUGAUAACUGGGAUUAACGACAAAGUAUCUUACUACACCGAGUUAUUGGUGGAUAGAUCACCAUUUUUUAUGAUAACUCCACCAAAUCAUUAGUUGUAGUAGAAGGUCAAUCAGUGCAACUUGCAUGUUUUGCUGGUGGAUAUCCUACUCCAAGAGUUUUCUGGAGGAAACGUAAAAAUGCAAUUUUAUUUAUAGGUAACAUUUUGAAAUUUUCUGCUAUAAAAAAAGAACAUCGUGGAGAUUACUAGUGUAAAGCUGAAAAUAAUGUUGGGAAUGGUACCAGUCAUACAAUUUCCCUAGAAGUAGAAUUUGCUCCAGUUGUAACUGCUCUAGAAACUAGUGUGGGACAAGCUGUACUUUAUGACGCAUAUCUUGAAUGUCAUGUUGAGGCGAAUUCUCAACCAGCCAUCACUUGGAUAUAUAAUGGAGUAGAAUUAUCUAAUAAUCAACAUUACUUGUACGCUUUUAAUCAUUGUUAUUAAUGGAAUAAUAUUUAGAAACGCUGUUACCACAAUGCCCUCCUGCCUGUUAAGAUUAUUCGACAAUGCAAGCUGCUGUUUCGUUCUAGUUGUAGCUCUUUACCCGUAUCAUAUUUUAUACAUUCAAUUAUUAUUUCCCUGUCCAAAAACAACGUAUUAAUAAUGAAAUAAUAAAAUUCCAAAAUAACGUAAUAAUGAUUUCCCUUUAUAAUGAACAAUUAAAAUUAAAUUUAUAAUACAAUUUAAAAAGAUAUCAUUUUAUAUAACGUCUAAAUUAAAUAUAUGAUAAGCUUGUAAUGUAUUGUUUUAAUGUAUUUAUGUAAUUCAAUAUUAUUUAAAAAAUUAUGAAACUGAUUAAAUCAGUUGCAACGAAAAAUUGUUAGCCAAAAGCCUUUUAAGAUAUAAUAAUAAAACUAACAGAUCCAUUUUUUUUAGAAGUAUUGUUGCAAUACCACAAAAUUUCAAUCAUUACCAUUACUAUUUUUGAAUAAUAUCAAUUUAAAAUUUAAUAUAAGCUAUUUUAUUACUUUGAAAACAUAUUUAUUUAGCAUAGGUAAUUUAUAUUUAAAUUUUAAUUGAAAAGAGUGAAUCAUAAACUUGAUAACACUCAAUAUUCUGCUCAUAGUAAUCAAUUUAUACAAUUUUUCGAAUUUAUAAAUCUAUGCAAGAUUAUUGCACAAUUUAUUCUUUUACAGUAAAACCUCUUUAUAAUGGUCCCUAUUUUAGACAGAAUCCUUCUUAAAACAAAAAAUUGUUGGCCCCAACCGA